UAUGCUGUAGUAUAAGAUGUACAUUGAAUUUUGAUUUCUGAGGUGUUAGUUUAAAUCUAAUCGGUGUAG
rnacentral:tRNA from 1 species